rnacentral:rRNA from 1 species
UACGUAGGGAGCAAGCGUUGUCCGGAUUUAUUGGGCGUAAAGAGCUCGUAGGCGGCUCAUUGCGUCAACCGUGAAAACCAGCAGCUCAACUGUUGGCUUGCGGUUGAUACGGGUGGGCUGGAGUUCGGUAGGGGAGACUGGAAUUCCUGGUGUAGCGGUGAAAUGCGCAGAUAUCAGGAAGAACACCAAUGGCGAAAGCAGCUCUCUGGGACGGUACUGACGCUGAGACGCGAAAGCGU